GGCAAACGGGUGAGUAACACGUGGGUGACCUACCUUCGAGUGGGGGAUAACGUCCCGAAAGGGACGCUAAUACCGCAUGACAUCCUGCUUUUGGAAAAGCGGAGAUCAAAGCCGGGGAUCGCAAGACCUGGCGCUUGAAGAGGGGCCCGCGCCUGAUUAGCUAGUUGGUGGGGUAACGGCCUACCAAGGCAACGAUCAGUAUCCGGCCUGAGAGGGCGGACGGACACACUGGGACUGAGACACGGCCCAGACUCCUACGGGAGGCAGCAGUGGGGAAUUGUUCGCAAUGGGCGCAAGCCUGACGACGCAACGCCGCGUGGAGGACGAAGAUCUUCGGGUCGUAAACUCCUGUCGAGCGGGAAGAACAUCCUUCGGGCGAAUAUCCUGAAGGACUGACGGUACCGCUAAAGGAAGCCCCGGCUAACUCCGUGCCAGCAGCCGCGGUAAUACGGGGGGGGCAAGCGUUGUUCGGAAUUACUGGGCGUAAAGGGCUCGUAGGCGGCCAACUAAGUCAGAUGUGAAAUCCCCAGGCUCAACCUGGGAACUGCAUCUGAUACUGGAUGGCUUGAAUUCGGGAGAGGGAUGCAGAAUUCCAGGUGUAGCGGUGAAAUGCGUAGAUAUCUGGAGGAAUACCGGUGGCGAAGGCGGCAUCCUGGACCGACAUUGACGCUGAGGAGCGAAAGCUAGGGGAGCAAACGGGAUUAGAUACCCCGGUAGUCC
rnacentral:rRNA from 1 species